rnacentral:rRNA from 1 species
GACAGAGGCCUCGAGCGUUAGGCGGAAUCACUGGGCUUAAAGCGUGUGUAGGCGGAUCGUUAAGUACCUUGUGAAAUCCCACGGCUCAACCGUGGAACGGCUGGGUAUACUGGCGGUCUUGGGCCAUUCAGGGGCGACUGGAACAAGCGGUGGAGCGGUGAAAUGCGUAGAUAUCGCUUGGAACGCCGAAGGUGAAAACAGGUCGCUGGGGAUGUGCCGACGCUGAGACACGAAAGCCAGGGGAGCGAACAGG